CGUGUUUAUCCUGCCGGAGAUGCAAAGCGCGGAUCGCAUUGGGAGAAAGAAUCGCUGUUUUUCAGAUCCGGGCGGCUCGAUUCUCCAGUUUAGGAGCCCGAAGUCGGGAGCAUUUCGCUCGACUGAACGGUGGCUGCUCGGCCUCGCAUGGAAAACUAAGACAAUUUGACAAUAGCGACAUUUUUUUUUUUAAAUGGCCGUCGCUCUGAGUCUGCACCUUCACUUACUUUAUUUUGUGUUUUUUUAAUUUAUUGUUAUGCAAGGAUUUAACAUACCAAAAAGAUGAUUCGGAGCUCCGUGUUCGGCAGGGGAAGCGGCCAACGACCGGCUGAAUGCAAUACAUAGAGCUGAAGGAUAUAUUUUAUGGGUUGCAUUUGAUUCUGCCGGCCUGGCCCUCUUCGGAUUUCGGAUUACUCCACGUUUGUCGGAAUGGAAGGACGGGAUUUCGCCUCGCCGGCGCACCUUUUAUCGGAGCGGGGCGCCCUGGUGCACCGGGCCGCCUCUCGGAUCGCUCCCUCCGGCCACGGCUCGGUGCAGCACGCCGGCCACUUCCAGCCGGGGAAAUAUUAUCCUUCGCACAUACCGAUGGCUCCUCACUCAGGUUUGUAAAAAAAAUCCCCUACUUUCAUGUAACAAAGACCAACCUUCCUGGCGACCAGUCCUAUAUUUCCCAUUUUUUAUUAAAUGGAAUAUUCCCAUUUAUAUUUCGACUAAGUGGCCCACACGCUACAGGGCUGAUUGCACCACAGUAUACCAGUUUUCUUUUCCAUUUCACAAAUAUAUGCUUUCAACCAAAAUAUUUGCCCCGAACAAACGGAAAAAGAAGAUUAUGUGUGUUUGGAUAAUUGCUGCUACGUGUUUAGGGUUUUAGACGGUUUGGCAAAGGCUGCGUGGAGCUGUAUUCCCAACUGGUCGAACAGAAGGACGCACGACGCAUGGGCACACGCAGCACAGUGGCUUCGGUGCUGUGCGUCCAACGAGAUUUGCCACUUCAUAUUAAAUUCAUGACCGUCACGUUGGCACCCAUGGUUGUUUUUCCAUAACCUGGCCAUAUUAUUCCAGUGCCUUCCUUGCAGUGCAGGUGAAUUGACUGGGACAUCACGAGGUUUAAUUAAACACCCCCCCCCGGGGCUGUGUGUUUUUAAUACUACAAUAUCUACCUUCUAUAUUGGGCACUAAAGUGUCGGGGUGCAAAUGGGUUCACGGUGCAUGCGUGAGGUUUAACGGGUGACUCGGGUGUCUUGUGUGUAGUUGCCGCAUGCAAAUGUUGGAAGGCAGGGGCGGCAGGUCCGUGGUGGGCUGCAGCAUCAGGGCCCAGUGGGCUGAAGCAUUGUCCCUCUUGGUCAUUUCCCGGAAAUCGGUCGUAAAUAAGGGGUUAACCUUGCUAGCCACGUGAGCUUGUAAUAUGCGUUUAAUUUGAUAUUAUUGCUUUAAAAUGACAACAUAGAAAAAAAUAUAUAUAGAGGUAUAUGUUCCCAUCCCAUCUUUUAUGCGGUCAGUAAUUGCAGAGGUCUACAGGAAACGCAUCAUAUUUUGAACCGAUAAAACCGUAGCCUAAUUACUGAUUUAUAAUUGACGUGAAGGAGGCACAAUUGUUUUUUAAUAUCCAUUGCUUUACCCAUUCCAAUUAACACAUAUAUUAUACAUGUAUUUAUGUGUUCUUACAUAUGAAUCUGUUGGAAAUAGAGGAUUGAAUGUGAGUUGAAUGCGGGAAACAUAUAAUUCAGUUAAACAUUAGACAUAUUAGGACUAUUCUGUUCAAAUAUUAACAUACUGACUGUAACACACACACACACACACACACACACACACACACACACACACACACACACACACACACACACACACACACACACACACACACACACACACACACACACACACA